rnacentral:rRNA from 1 species
UCGGCAAAAUGACCCCGCAACUUAGGGUUAAGGGGUGCCACCAUCCUCUGGACGCAGCGAAUAGGCCCAAGCGACUGUUUACCAAAAACAUAGGUUUCUGCUAAGUCGCAAGACGAUGUAUAGGAGCUGACGCCUGCCCGGUGCUGGUAGGUUAAGGGGAUCUGUUAGAGCACUCGCAGCAGUUAACUUAAGCCCCAGUCAACCGCGGCCGUCACUAUAACGCCCGAAGGUCGCGAAAUUCCUUGUCGGGUAAGUUCCGACCCGCACGAAAGGCGUAACGAUUUGGGCACUGUCUCA